GCAUUGAUAGUGUAGCGGUUAUCAUCGAGUCUUCCCAUGUAGCGUGCAGUAUUUCUGCAAGCAUACGGGAUCUGGCUUGGACCCGGGUUCGACUCCCGGUCAAUGCA